AUACGAAGGGUGCAAGCGUUAAUCGGAAUUACUGGGCGUAAAGCGCGCGUAGGUGGUUUUGUAAGUUGGAGGUGAAAGCCCCGGGCUCAACCUGGGAAUUGCCUCCAAAACUGCAUGACUAGAGUACGGUAGAGGGUAGUGGAAUUUCCUGUGUAGCGGUGAAAUGCGUAGAUAUAGGAAGGAACACCAGUGGCGAAGGCGACUACCUGGACUGAUACUGACACUGGGGUGCGAAAGCGUGGGGAGCAAACAGGAUUAGAUCCCCUGGUAGUCCACGCCGUAAACGAUGUCAACUAGCCGUUGGGAUCCUUGAGAUCUUAGUGGCGCAGCUAACGCAUUAAGUUGACCGCCUGGGGAGUACGGCCGCAAGGUUAAAACUCAAAUGAAUUGGCGGGG
rnacentral:rRNA from 1 species